rnacentral:rRNA from 1 species
AGAGUUUGAUCCUGGCUCAGAAUGAACGCUGGCGGCGUGCCUAACACAUGCAAGUCGAGCGAGAAAGCCACCUUCGGGUGGUGAGUAAAGCGGCGCACGGGUGAGUAACGCGUGGGUUAUCUACCUCUAGGACAGGGAUAACACUGCGAAAGCGGUGCUAAUACCUGAUAAGCUAGUCAAUUAUUAAGUGGUUGGCUAGGAAAGGGUGGCCUCUCGGAGAAGCUACCGCCUAGGGAUGAGCCUGCGUCCCAUUAGCUAGUUGGUGGGGUAAUGGCCUACCAAGGCUACGAUGGGUAGCCGGCCUGAGAGGGUGACCGGCCACACUGGGACUGGAACACGGCCCAGACUCCUACGGGAGGCAGCAGUGGGGAAUAUUGGGCAAUGGGGGAAACCCUGACCCAGCAACGCCGCGUGAGGGAAGAAGGCCUUCGGGUCGUAAACCUCUGUCAGGAGGGAAGAACCCUUGGUGGUCGAACAGGCUACCAAGCUGACGGUACCUCCAGAGGAAG